CCUACGGGAGGCUGCAGUGGGGAAUAUUGCACAAUGGGGGAAACCCUGAUGCAGCGACGCCGCGUGAGUGAAGAAGUAUCUCGGUACGUAAAGCUCUAUCAGCAGGAAAGAAAAUGACGGUACCUGACCAAGAAGCCCCGGCUAACUACGUUCCAGCAGCCGCGGUAAUACGUAGGGGGCCAGCGUUAUCCGGAUUUACUGGGUGUAAAGGGAGCGUAGACGGCGCUGCAAGUCCGGAGUGAAAGCCCAUGGCUUAACCAUGGUACUGCGCUGGAAACUGUAGAACUUGAGUUCGGGAGGGGCAGGCGGAAGUCCUAGUGUAGCGGUGAAAUGCGUAGAUAUUAGGAGGAACACCGGCGGCGAAGGCGACUAUCUGGCACAUAACUGACGCUGAGGAGCGAAAGCGUGGGUAGCAAACAGGAUUAGAUACCCCAGUAGUC
rnacentral:rRNA from 1 species